UGACGAGCACACGACUGGCGCAGGUGGGGGACCACCGGGGAGUGUAAAGAGACGGCAUCGACCGCCUGGGUGCCCCUC
rfam:Nocardioides luteus strain BAFB contig00071, whole genome shotgun sequence.